GCCACACACACACACACACACACACACACACAGGGCCAGACACACACACACAGGGCCAGGCACACACACACAGGGCCAGACACACACACACACACAGGGCCAGACACACACACACACACAGGGCCAGACACACACACACACCAGACACCAGACACACACACACACAGGGCCAGACACACAGACACACACACAGGGCCAGACACACACACACACACAGGGCCAGACACACAGACACACACACAGGGCCAGACACACACACACACACACAGGGCCAGACACACACACACACACAGGGCCAGACACACACACACACAGGGCCAGACACACACACACAGGGCCAGACACACACACACACAUGGCCAGACACACACACACACACACAGGGCAACACACAAGCUCUGUCCUCUACAGUGUGGUGUAGUGAAAGCCCAAUCCUCUGACCCACUGC
ensembl:lncRNA